rnacentral:rRNA from 1 species
UACAGAGGUCCCAAGCGUUGUUCGGAUUCAUUGGGCGUAAAGGGUGCGUAGGCGGCGGAGUAAGUUGGGUGUGAAAUCCCGAGGCUCAACCUCGGAAUUGCAUUCAAUACUGCUUCGCCCGAGUACUGGAGAGGAGGCUGGAAUUUACGGUGUAGCAGUGAAAUGCGUAGAUAUCGUAAGGAAGGCCGGUGGCGAAAGCGAGCCUCUGGACAGUUACUGGCGCUGAUGCACGAAGGCCAGGGGAGCAAACGGG